rnacentral:rRNA from 1 species
GUAGGUGGCAAGCGUUGUCCGGAAUUAUUGGGCGUAAAGCGCGCGCAGGCGGUUCUUUAAGUCUGAUGUGAAAGCCCGCGGCUCAACCGUGGAGGGUCAUUGGAAACUGGAGAACUUGAGUACAGAAGAGGAAAGCGGAAUUCCACGUGUAGCGGUGAAAUGCGUAGAGAUGUGGAGGAACACCAGUGGCGAAGGCGGCUUUCUGGUCUGUAACUGACGCUGAGGCGCGAAAGCGUGGGGAGCAAACAGGAUUAGAUACCCUGGUAGUCCACGCCGUAAACGAUGAGUGCUAAGUGUUAGGGGGGUUUUCCGCCCCCCUUAGUGCUGCAGCUAACGCAUUAAGCACUCCGCCCCGGGGAGUACGGCCGCAAGGCUG